AUUGAACGCUAGCGGGAUGCUUUACACAUGCAAGUCGAACGAGUGGCGGACGGGUGAGUAAUAUAUCGGAACGUGCCCAGUAGCGGGGGAUAACUACUCGAAAGAGUGGCUAAUACCGCAUACUCUUGGAGCGGCCGAUAUCGGAUUAGCUAGUGGGUGGGGUAAAGGCUCACCAAGGCAACGAUCCGUAGCUGGUUUGAGAGGACGCUGCGCCACACUGGAACUGAGACACGGCCCCGCCUCCUACUGGAGGCAGAAGUGGGGAAUUUUGGACAAUGGGCGAAAGCCUGAUCCAGCCAUCCCGCGUGUAUGAGAAGGCCUGCGGGUUGUAAAGUACUUUUGGCAGGGAAGCGGUAUCUGCAGAAUAAGCACCGGCUAACUACGUGCCAGCAGCCGCGGUAAUAC
rnacentral:rRNA from 1 species